ACAUGUCUUAUAGAUAUUUAUUUUAAGUCUGACCUGCCCGUUGAUUUAUUGAAAGGCCGCAGAACUUUAACUGUGCAAAGGUAGCAUAAUCACUAGUUUUUUAAUUGAAAGCUUGAAUGAAUGGUUGGACGAGGCACUGGCUGUUUCACAUUAAAUGUUAGAACUUUAUUUUUUGGUAAAAAAGCCUAAAUUUUUUUAAAAGACGAGAAGACCCUAUAGAUCUUUAUAGUUAAGCGUUGUUAAAUUUAUGAGGAUUUUUUUGGUUAACAUGUUUUAUACUAUUUUGCUGGGGUGGCAGAGAAAUUUGUUUAACUUUUUUUAUUUUUUGUACAUUUAUUUAUGUUGAUGAUGAUCCUUUUUUAAGAUUAAAAAUUUAAGUUACCUUAGGGAUAACAGCGUAAUCUUUUCGGAGAGUUCAUAUCGAUGAAAAGGAUUGCGACCUCGAUGUUGGAUUAAGAUUCAUUACUGGGCGCAGCAGUUCAG
rnacentral:rRNA from 1 species